AUACGUAGGGGGCAAGCGUUAAUCGGAAUUACUGGGCGUAAAGCGCUCGUAGGCGGCGUGUAAAGUCGGAUGUGAAAUCCCCGGGCUCAACCUGGGAACUGCAUUCGAUACUGGCAGGCUAGAGUAUAGUAGAGGCAAGUGGAAUUUCGGGUGUAGCGGUGAAAUGAGUAGAUAUCCGAAGGAACAUCAGUGGCGAAGGCGACUUGCUGGACUAAUACUGACGCUGAGGAGCGAAAGCGUGGGGAGCAAACGGGAUUAGAAACCCCAGUAGUCC
rnacentral:rRNA from 1 species